UAGCCAGAGAGCCAUGGGCAACGGGCUGAGCAGAGGAGGAUCCAGUGUCCAUCGCUUAAAAAUGCCCCUGUGGCAGUGAAGGGUGCCAGACUCAAGUGAAGUUAGUUGAGAGGCAGUGACAUCCCCAACCAUUCCCCAUACAAGCUGAGCCCCACCUCCAGGCCCCGAGGAGCCACCCCAGACCAGACUCCAGGCAAGGCAACAGCACUGGCUGGUGGGAGUCCUCCCCACACUGGAGAAACUAGAUCCCCAGAGAGGGAUAGAGAGAGAGCCUCCUGGAGACCAGAAGAGAACAGGUGGAAGCAGCCUUGGUCCCCAAACUGAGCUUCCCGACAGCCAGAAGACAUACAGAAAGGAAGGGGAUUGGGCCACGUCCUGGCAGCAGCCCCCAAGCUGCUGAGCCCAGACACUGAGAGCAUGAGAUAAAACCUCCAGCCCACCUGGCCGAGCCACCUCCCUUAACAGAAGGGGAAAGUGAGCCCCAGAGAGGAAGGGGCCCAGUGAGAUGUAGCUUCGUUGACUGGCCAUGGAGCCUGGAUCCUGAGGGCCUUCCUCAUCUCCUGACUGGGCAUCCAGGCCUGAAGGAGCCUUUCAUGGGGUAAGUGAUAUAGGGGCACACAAACCUCUUCUUGGUGAGGCCCACGUGAAAGAGACAGGGGUUUGGGAUAAGCUCUGCCUACCAGUCCAAUACAUAUACAAGGCUCAAAGGAUGUCUUCCAGAGAGCCUGAAGGGCCACCUCCCUGCCCCCAGCCCAGCCCCAAAGGCCUUGCCAGCUCCCCUGCCUACAGGGCAGGAACCACUUUGUCCACAAGCGCUUAGU